AGUUCCUGAUCAGCCCCCAUCCUCUGCUGCAGAAGAGGAUUUAGAACAGGAACUUCUAGUGGUUACAGAGGAGCAAAAGGAAUUUCAACCUUUGGACAGAGAGGUGAUAUCCAUCAGUUCAAGAUCUGAUGAUUCUGCAAGAGAUGCUGCAGGAGGCCCUGCAGCUCAGGGAAAUCCUGCUCCUGAGCCAGUCACUCCAGAGCCUUCCACUAACAAUAUUGAACUAGAAGUGGACUUAAAUGUUCACCCAGAACCAUCAAGCCCUGAAACAGAACCAUCAAGCCCUGAAACAGAACCAUCAACCCCUGAAACAGAACCAUCAACCCCUGAAACAGAACCAUCAACCCCUGAAACAGAACCAUCAACCCCUGAAACAGAACCAUCAAGCCCCGAAUCAGAACCAUCUUUGCGGAGGUCAGUCCGAGCAAGAAGACCACCAGAACGUCUACAGUACUCUCAACUGGGUCACCCACUGUUGAAGAGCAUCCAGUUAUUGUUUCAUGGGCUGACCACUGCAUUUACGCAUGCUCUUGAAGGGACUGAGGAGGAUGAACCCAUGACUGUUCCUGUUGUCAUUCAAACGCAACCCGGUCCAUGUACGGGGACGUGCAUGAGAUCAGGGGGGGAACCUGUAACCCAUGUGACCGACAUGACCCAAUCACCUUCCCUUUAAGCCCAUCCCUUUAAGUUCAUUGUCAUGUGUGUUUCCGGGUUGGCUGCUGCUCACUGUUGGUUGUCGCGUCCGUUGUUGAUAAAACAACUUGAAGUUAUAAAUCAACUCAUCACUCAUUUAAUCUAAACUCAACUUUGAAGAUUUCUGCUGGAACACCUUCCUGAAUUGAACAAGUUACCAUUGCAUCCACCUCCUCAGACAAUCCGUUACUCGACGGUCAGGUUUUUUUUUCUUCCGGACUCCUGCACGGAUACAUUGGAUGACGGAAGAUGGCGAGCUACCCACCCACCAUCUGGUGGUAGGAAACAGAACUACACUUUCCAUAUAGGAACUGAACAGACUCUAAGGAGUAUCAAAAAAAAAGGGAAAAUAACUAUUCUCCCUUCAUUUUUGGACCUCUUGUGGACUCUAUUAGGUUUUGAAGUGUCACUGACAAGUGUUUUGUUUGUUUUCUAUUUUCCUGUUUUUUUAGAACUUUAUUUAUUUA